AAUCAUAUUAAUAUUUUUGGAUUUUUUUUGUAUUUCUAUAUUCACCAUGUAAACCAAAACACCUAGGUUUUUCUCUCCUUCCCUAGCUCCUAUGAUUGAUGCAACCGACAAAAAUCUUGGCUUAAUUAUAGUGGCACCAGCAUGUUGCAUGACCCCAAGCAUAACAGGUGUAUAUACCUAGUUUACAUAAUAAUAGUCGUCCACACAACACAUCUAGAAUAGAA
rnacentral:lncRNA from 1 species